AUUGAACGCUGGCGGCAGGCUUAACACAUGCAAGUCGAGCGGAGAUGAGGUGCUUGCACCUUAUCUUAGCGGCGGACGGGUGAGUAAUGCUUAGGAAUCUGCCUAUUAGUGGGGGACAACAUUCCGAAAGGAAUGCUAAUACCGCAUACGCCCUACGGGGGAAAGCAGGGGAUCUUCGGACCUUGCGCUAAUAGAUGAGCCUAAGUCGGAUUAGCUAGUUGGUGGGGUAAGGGCCUACCAAGGCGACGAUCUGUAGCGGGUCUGAGAGGAUGAUCCGCCACACUGGGACUGAGACACGGCCCAGACUCCUACGGGAGGCAGCAGUGGGGAAUAUUGGACAAUGGGCGAAAGCCUGAUCCAGCCAUGCCGCGUGUGUGAAGAAGGCCUUUUGGUUGUAAAGCACUUUAAGCGAGGAGGAGGCUACUAGUACUAAUACUACUGGAUAGUGGACGUUACUCGCAGAAUAAGCACCGGCUAACUCUGUGCCAGCAGCCGCCGUAACAC
rnacentral:rRNA from 1 species